AAUCAACGCUGGCGGCGUGCCUAACACAUGCAAGUCGAACGAGAAGGUGACUUCGGUCACUGGAUAGUGGCGUCCGGGUGAGUAACACGUAGGUAGUCUACCUUCGGGUGGGGAAUAACGUCUCGAAAGAGACGCUAAUACCGCAUAAUGCAGCGGCACCUAAUGGUGAUUAGUUGUUAAAGCGGGGGAGUCUUCGGACCUCGCGCCUGAAGAGGAGCCUGCGGCAGAUUAGCUAGUUGGUGAGGUAAUGGCUCACCAA
rnacentral:rRNA from 1 species